rnacentral:rRNA from 1 species
GACGAACGCUGGCGGCGUGCCUAAUACAUGCAAGUUGAGCGCUGAAGGUUGGUACUUGUACCAACUGGAUGAGCAGCGAACGGGUGAGUAACGCGUGGGGAAUCUGCCUUUGAGCGGGGGACAACAUUUGGAAACGAAUGCUAAUACCGCAUAAAAACUUUAAACACAAUUUUUAAGUUUGAAAGAUGCAAUGGCAUCACUCAAAGAUGAUCCCGCGUUGUAUUAGCUAGUUGGUGAGGUAAAGGCUCACCAAGGCGAUGAUACAUAGCCGACCUGAGAGGGUGAUCGGCCAAAUUGGGACUGAGACACGGCCCAAACUCCUACGGGAGGCAGCAGUAGGGAAUCUUCGGCAAUGGACGAAAGUCUGACCGAGCAACGCCGCGUGAGUGAAGAAGGUUUUCGGAUCGUAAAACUCUGUUGGUAGAGAAGAACGUUGGUGAGAGUGGAAAGCUCAUCAAGUGACGGUAACUACCCAGAAAGGGACGGCUAACUACGU